CGUCGCUGGGUCUAAAGGGCCGUUCAGCAGCCAUAAAAGCAGAGCUUUAAGGCAAACGAGCGGCGUGAUGAGCCUCCUGUCGAGGGGAUAUGAAGAGGACUUUCUCCUUCCGAGGAAAACACACAGUACAAGCAGACUCAGAGUCCACAUGCUGCAGGGAAGAGAGGAGCCUGUAAACAUCAUCUCUGCCCUUUGACCCACUUACGUCACCUUUAAAUCAUUUUAUGUCAACAGCAGCACUUCACACAUGAUAUAAACAUAAUUGUAAUGGAAGUGUUGUAACCCAAAACACAUAUUAUCUGCAUGUGGGCCGGGAAGGCUUUCUUUAUAAAACAGAUCGGGACGAGUAAACAUCAGGGAAAAUGUUCCAUCAACAUCAGAGGCUUUUAGACGUGAACUGACGAUAAUAGGAGCGAUUCCGUCUUCUGCGCCAGGUAACGGACGCUCUGGGCGUUUAGAGAUGCGUCCAAGGAUAAAGCGGUUGCCACGAAAGACCAUCUGGACACUGGACACUCAGAGGUGAGGGUUCAUUUCAACGGGACGAAUACUGAUGAGAGACAGGGCGAUCUGUGGGAGAUGUGGCUAAAAGGUGCUCAGAGCUGCACGCAGCGGAUCCGUCCCGCUAACGACGGCCCGACCGCGGGAAUGCAAAUGAAUGAUAAAUCAUGCAGAGGCGCGAGUCCCGCGAGGCGAGCGGCGCUCCCUGCUGACGCCACCGCCGAGGGUCGCUGACGCGUGGCCGGACCUGCUCAGGCCGCUCCCGGAGGCACCGAGCAGAGGCGAUGGCACCGGCAGAUAAGGGCGAAGCGCUGUGAUGUGGCAACACGUCUGUUAGAGCAAGGCGAGCGUGCUGUUUUGCAAACAGGAACACGGGCGGUUGCUCCAGAGCGGCCGCGCUCAGACGAGACACAAAACGGUCGGAUUUGGGGAAGAUUUCACCUUCAGCGCAACUAACAACCAAGGUGACCAAACGUUCCUAUUUCACCGCGAGCACAGAAGAAGAUGAUACCGCCUUAAUUAGGAAUGCACAAAUGCACAAACAACAGCGAGCAGCAUCAGCGGUGCUCCGCCGUCAGACGCCCCUCCUCUGCAGGGACGUGCGGGUCACGGAGACCAACGAGCAGACGCCGCGAUGCCUUUGAGGACCGUCUGACUUUAGCGUGAAUAAAACAUGCCGCGGCAUGUUGGGAGCGAC